UGUCCCAUUCUAAAUAUAAUAAAAAUGAGGCUGAAUUAUUUUCUGUGGGUACAUCUUAAUGUUUCUUUUGGAUAUGAUACUUGAACACAAGGCUAAUGAGCAUUAACAUAUCAAAGAAAUUAACUAAUCAAUUAAGAGGCAGAGACCAUAUGGCUGAAGUGAGCUAGCGAACAUCAGAACUAGACAUUCAGGCAUCUCAAGUGUAAAAUCUCACACCCUGCAGAGCUUGGAACUAGAUAUCCAGGCUUCUCCUGUGUAGAACCUUACACCCUGCAGAGCCUUUGAUUAAUCAAAGAAUCCAUCCAUGUUGCAAACCAUCUGCCCCCUUUUACAUUCCUAUACCAUUUACAUUAUCCCUUCUGUCAUCUGACCUUGCAACCAAGUGGCCAAUUCAUAUAUGCACUACACAAAUUACAUUAAAUGGAAUGGCAAUAUUCUAUAGUGCAACAAUGAAUUAUGCACCCUUCCCCUGAUUUUGCUACUUAACAUUCCUGGUGACUGUAGGCAAGAAUGAAGGGAACAAAGUCUCCUCAUCUCCCUUCUCCCCCUACCCUUAUGCAGUUCAUAAUAUUUCUCUACUAAUUUUAAAUUUACCACAAAAAAAUACAUAUAUAAGGUGAGAGGCGAAUGAUCUCCCAUCCUAAAGCAACCUAAGCCGACACAGUAGUGCCCUGUCUCCUCCAAGAAACCGUGGGGGGUUAUCCGUGCUCACAUCAAAAGUGCAAGACAAGUCAGUACACCCUAAUCCCAUGAAAGCCCAGUGUUAGGGAAUACUGACAUGUCACAAUGUUGUUAACUAGUUAAAAGGACACUAUAGUCACCAGAACAACUGCCGUUUAAUGUAGUUGUUUUGGUCAGUAUAGUCAGUCCCUGCAAGUUUUUGUUGCCAACGCAGUCUUUUCAGAAAAAAGGCAGUGUUUACAUUACAGCCUAGGGACACCUCCACUCUGUAGAUGGCUAUAAGAGGUGCUUCCUGGGGCAGCUCUGCAUGAACAAGCUGAACUUUCCUCAUGGAGGAGAUGCUGAUUGGCUAGGGAGAAGUUCGGCCCCACCUCACUGAUGAUCCCCUGUGGGAAAGCAUUAGAUUCUGAUGAUGUCAGCCAAAGAGGUGGCUUGGGGUCAGGACCUCUGGUGACCUAGAAAUAAAGUAAAAUAUAACCCUUUCUAAGGAGGCAGCGGGUGGGGGGUGGGGACAAGCCACCUAAAAUGGUGUUUUUAACACUAUAGGGUCAGGAAUGCAUGUUUGUGCUCCUGACCAUAUAGCGUUCCUUUAAUGGUUUUAUUAGACCUUUCCAAUACAGUGGGAGGAUAGUGACUGCAAAUCACUGGACACUCUUUGAAACUUUUUUUGUUCUCUAUAAAAAUCCAUAAAUUAUAUUGGAUAACAGAGGUGUUAUUUAAAAAAUAAAAUAAAAUGUAUUUAUAUCCAACAUAUAUGAACACUAGUACUACUCAAUACCUCUCUUCACCAAAACUCUCUCCUGUUAUCCUGCUGCAUCUCUUCAGUCGCCCACUGUCAUGCCAAAGCAUGAGUUAGCAUGGGAUAUGUGUUAUGAGUUGUUUUUGUAUACUUUGGGAUAACAUUUAUUGUAGGCUUUGAUCUAUCACCAGGCCUAACCCAUGAACUGUAACGUUUAGAUAACCAUCACCAGAGCUGGACAUAGGGUGUCAUAAAAGCUAUUGGUGCAUAUGCUCUAACCUUGGGUUAUUCAAAGGACAUAAUUUAAGAAAAUAUGGAGUGGACAAUAAACUGCCAUGCCAAACCCCCCUGAUCCACUCAGAGGUCUGGCCACUUAGAACCAACUAGUUUAAACUACACUGCUCAAAAAAAUAAAGGGAACACAAAAAUAACACAUCCUAGAUCUGAAUGAAUUAAAUAUUCUUCUGAAAUACUUUGUUCUUUACAUAGUUGAAUGUGCUGACAACAAAAAUCACACAAAAAUUAAAAAAUGGAAAUCAAAUUUUUCAACCCAUGGAGGUCUGGAUUUGGAAUCGUAAUCAAAAUUAAAGUGGAAAAACACACUACAGGCUGAUCCAACUUUGAUGUAAUGUCCUCAAAACAAGUCAAAAUGAGGCUCAGUAGUGUAUGUGGCCUCCACGUGCCUGUAUGACCUCCUUACAACGCCUCUGCAUGCUCCUGAUGAGGUGGCAGAUAGUCUCCUGAGGGAUCUCCUCCCAGACCUGGACUAAAGCAUCUGCCAACUCCUGGACAGUCUGUGGUGCAACGUGACGUUGGUGGAUGGAGCGAGACAUGAUGUCCCAGAUGUGCUCAAUUGGAUUCAGGUCUGGAGAACGGGCGGGCCAGUCCAUAGCAUCAAUGCCUUUGUCUUUUGCAGAAACUGCUGACACACUCCAGCCACAUGAGGUCUAGCAUUGUCUUGCAUUAGGAGGAACCCAGGGCCAACCGCACCAGCAUAUGGUCUCACAAGGGGUCUGAGGAUCUCAUCU